GGGGUUAUAGCUCAGCUGGGAGAGCGCCUGCCUUGCACGCAGGAGGUCUGCGGUUCGAUCCC
rnacentral:tRNA from 1 species